rnacentral:lncRNA from 10 species
UUUUUUUUGAGUCAGAGUCUCACUCUCUCGCCCAGGCUGGAGUGCAAUGAUGUGAUCUCGGCUCACUGCAACCUCCAACUCCCGGAUUCAAGCAAUUCUCCUGCCUCAGCCUCCUGAGUAGCUGGGAUUACAGGCGCCUGCCACCACACCCGGCUAAUUUUUGUAUUUUUAGUAGAGACGGGGUUUCACCAUGUUGGCUAGGUUGGUCUCUUUGGCCAGGUUGGUCUCCAACUCCUGACCUUGUGAUCCAUCCACCUUGGCCUCCCAAAGUGCUGGGAUUACAGGUGUAAACCACCAUGCCUAGCCUAAUUUUGUAUUUUUAGUAGAGAUGGGGUUUCACCAUGUUGGCCAAGCUGGUCUCAAA